AGAGUUUGAUCCUGGCUCAGAACGAACGCUGGCGGCAGGCUUAACACAUGCAAGUCGAACGAACCUUCGGGUUAGUGGCGCACGGGUGAGUAACACGUGGGAACGUGCCCCUGGGUGCGGAAUAACGUCUGGAAACGGACGCUAAUACCGCAUAAUGACUCCGGUCCAAAGAUUUAUCGCCCAGGGAUCGGCCCGCGUCUGAUUAGGUAGUUGGUGAGGUAAUGGCCUACCAAGCCGACGAUCAGUAGCUGGUCUGAGAGGAUGAUCAGCCACACUGGGACUGAGACACGGCCCAGACUCCUACGGGAGGCAGCAGUGAGGAAUAUUGGACAAUGGGGGAAACCCUGAUCCAGCCAUGCCGCGUGAGUGAAGAAGGCCUUAGGGUUGUAAAGCUCUUUCAGGUGCGACGAUUAUGACGGUAACACCAGAAGAAGCCCCGGCUAAAUUCGUGCCAGCAGCCGCGGUAAUACGAAUGGGGCAAGCGUUGUUCGGAAUCACUGGGCGUAAAGCGUGCGUAGGCGGAGUUGCAAGUCAGAAGUGAAAUCCCGGGGCUCAACCCUGGAACUGCUUUUGAAACUGCAACUCUAGAGUCCCGGAGAGGUUGGCGGAAUUCCGAGUGUAGAGGUGAAAUUCGCAGAUAUUCGGAGGAACACCAGUGGCGUAGCGGCCAACUGGACGGGAACUGACGCUGAGCACGAAAGCGUGGGGAGC
rnacentral:rRNA from 1 species